GAUGUACUUAAUAGAAAUAUUUAGCUUACAUUAUUUAAUAGAAAUCUCUGGUUCAUAAUCACUUUAUGAUUGUAUAAACAAAAACAAAGGCUAAAGAAGUACAUACUACGUAAAAAUUGUCAUAUUUUCCUUUUUUUCUUUUUUUUAUGAGUGAUUUUCUUUAUUAUCUAUCAAAUGUAUAAAUCAAGUGAUUUCUGAUAUAGGCUGAUAUUUUGAAGGUUACGCGUCUCUAACUUGUUUAUUUUGUCACUCUAUUCAUCUGUGUUUCCUCUUAUUUUAAAUUUUAUUCCAGCGUCAUCAAUGAUUAUGAUAUGUUUUUUGUAUUGUUUUGAUGAGAUUGAGAUGUUUUUUAGGAUUAUGAGGAUCUCAGAAUAAUAAAGGUGGUGCUAAUGUAACACUAGAAAAAUGAUUGAGUUGGUUUCCUUUAAUACAUACGGUCUCAUUUUAAUUUUCUUGUAAUUAUUCUUUUUUCUUUUUUUCUUUUUCAUUUUCUUGUAAUUAUUCUAUUUUCUUUUUUUCUUUUUCAUUUUUUACUUAUAAUUAAUAUUUUAGCAUAUUUUUAAUCUGUAUAACUUAUGUUAAUUGUUUAAUUAUUAAAAUAUAGAAGAUGACAUUUUAUGUUCUUUAGGAUAUAAGUAUAAAUUUAAUUAAUUUUGAUGUUCAAUACAUAUCUUUCUAAACUAUUUAAUGUCAAGGUUUGUUACUCAUUACAUGUUUGAUUGAUGUAUAUAAUUCAGGAUGUACUUAAUAAAAAUAUUUAGCUUACAUUAUUUAAUAGAAAUCUCAGGUUCAUAAUCACUUUAUGAUUGUAUAAACAAAAUACAAAAGGUAAAAAAAUACGUACUGCUGAAAAAAUGUCAUAUUUUCCGUUUUUUUCUAUCUUUUAUGAGUAAUUUUCUUUCUUAUCUAUCAAAUGUACAAAUCAAGUGAUUUCGUAUAUAUGUUGCUCUUUUGAAGGUUACACAUCUCUAAGUUGUUUAUUUUGUCUCUCUAUUCAUCCGUGUUUCCUCUUAUUUUCAAUUUUAUUCUUGCGUCACCAAUGAUUAUGAUAGGGUUUUUCGUAUUGUUUUGAUGAGAUUGAGUCGAUUGUUAGGAUUAUGAGGAUCUCACAAUAAUAAAGUUGAUGCUAAUGUAACACUGGAAAAAUGAUUGAGUUGCUUUCCUUUAUACCAUACGGUCUCAUUUUCAAUUUCUUGUAAUUAUUCUAUUUUCUUUUUUCUUUUUCAUUUACUUGUAAUUAUUCUAUUUUCUUUUUUGUUUUUCAUUUUCUGGUAAUUAUUCUAUUUUCUUUUUCUCUUUUUCAUUUUCUACUUAUAAUUAGUUUUUUAGCAUAUUUUUAAUCUGUAUAACUUAUGUUAAUUGUUUAAUUAUCAGAAUAUAGAAGAUGACAUUUUAUGUUCUUUAGGAUAUAAGUAUAUAUUUAAUUAAUUUUGAUGUUCAAUACAUAUCUUUCUAAACUAGUUAAUGUCAAGGUUUGUUACUCAAUAAAUGUUUGAUUGAUUUAUAUAAUUGAGGAUUUACUUAAUAUAAAUAUUUAGCUUACAAUAUUUAAUAGAAAUCUCUGGUUCAUAAUCACUUUAUGAUUGUAUAAACAAAAUACAAAGGGUAAAAAAAUACGUACUGCUGAAAAAUUGUCAUAUUUUCCUUUUUUUUCUAUCUUUUAUGAGUAAUUUUCUUUCUUAUCUAUCAAAUGUACGGAACAAUUGAUUUCUGAUAUAGGUUAAUCUUUUGAAGGUUACACAUCUCUAACUUGUUUAUUUUGUCACUCUAUUCAUCUGUGUUUCCUCUUAUUUUCAAUUUUAUUCUUGCAUCACCAAUGAUUAUGAUAGGGUUUUUCGUAUUGUUUUGAUGAGAUUGAGAUGUUUGUUAGGAUUAUGAGGAUCUCACAAUAAUAAAGUUGGUGCUAAUGUAACACUAGAAAAAUGAUUGGGUUGGUUUCCUUUAAUACAUACGGUCUCAUUUUCAUUGUCUUGUAAUUAUUCUAUUUUCUUUUUUUCUUUUUCAUUUUCUUGUAAUUAUUCUUUUUUCUUUUUUUCUUUUUCAUUUUCUACUUAUAAUUAGUAUUUUAGCAUAUUUUUUAAUCUAUAUAACUUAUGUUAAUUGUUUAAUUAUCAGAAUAUAGAAGAUGACAUUUUAUGUUCUUUAGGAUAUAAGUAUAUAUUUAAUUAAUUUUGAUGUUCAAUACAUAUCUUUCUAAACUAGUUAAUGUCAAGGUUUGUUACUCAAUAAAUGUUUGAUUGAUUUAUAUAAUUGAGGAUUUACUUAAUAUAAAUAUUUAGCUUACAAUAUUUAAUAGAAAUCUCUGGUUCAUAAUCACUUUAUGAUUGUAUAAACAAAAUACAAAGGGUAAAAAAAUACGUACUGCUGAAAAAUUGUCAUAUUUUCCUUUUUUUUCUAUCUUUUAUGAGUAAUUUUCUUUCUUAUCUAUCAAAUGUACGGAACAAUUGAUUUCUGAUAUAGGUUAAUCUUUUGAAGGUUACACAUCUCUAACUUGUUUAUUUUGUCACUCUAUUCAUCUGUGUUUCCUCUUAUUUUCAAUUUUAUUCUUGCAUCACCAAUGAUUAUGAUAGGGUUUUUCGUAUUGUUUUGAUGAGAUUGAGAUGUUUGUUAGGAUUAUGAGGAUCUCACAAUAAUAAAGGUGGUGCUAAUGUAACACUGGAAAAAUGAUUGAGUUGGUUUCCUUUAUAACAUACGGUCUCAUUUUCAUUUUCUUGUAAUUAUUCUAUUUUCUUUUUUUCUUUUUCAUUUUCUUGUAAUUAUUCUUUUUUCUUUUUUUCUUUUUCAUUUUCUACUUAUAAUUAGUAUUUUAGCAUAUUUUUUAAUCUAUAUAACUUAUGUUAAUUGUUUAAUUAUCAGAAUAUAGAAGAUGACAUUUUAUGUUCUUUAGGAUAUAAGUAUAUAUUUAAUUAAUUUUGAUGUUCAAUACAUAUCUUUCUAAACUAAUUAAUGUCAAGGUUUGUUACUCAUUACAUGUUUGAUUGAUUUAUAUAAUUGAGGAUGUACUUAAUAAAAAUAUUUAGCUUACAUUAUUUAAUAGAAAUCUCUGGUUCAUAAUCACUUUAUGAUUGUAUAAACAAAAUACAAAAGGUAAAAAGAUACGUACUGCUAUAAAAUUGUCAUAUUUUCCGUUUUUUCCUAUCUUUUAUGAGUAAUUUUCUUUCUUAUCUAUCAAAUGUACAAACCAAGUGGUUUCAGAUAUAGGUUGAUCUUUUGAAGGUUACACAUCUCUAACUUGUUUAUUUUGUCACACUAUUCAUCCGUGUUUCCUCUUAUUUUCAAUUUUAUUCUUGCGUCACCAAUGAUUAUGAUAGGGUUUUUCGUAUUGUUUGGAUGAGAUUGAGAUGAUUGUUAGGAUUAUAAGGAUCUCACAAUAAUAAAGGUGAUGCUAAUGUAACACUGAAAAAAAGAUUGAGGUAGUUUCCAUUAUACCAUACGGUCUCAUUUUCAUUUUCUUGUAAUUAUUCUUUUUUCUGUUUCUACUUAUAAUUAGUAUUUUAGCAUAUUUUUUAAUUUGUAUAACUUAUGUCUAUUGUUGAAUUAUUAGAAUAUAGAAGAUGACAUUUUAUGUUCUUUAGGAUAUAAGUAUAUAUUUAAUUAAUUUUGAUGUUCAAUACAUAUCUUUCUAAACGAUUUAUUGUCAAGGUUUGUUAAUCAUUACAUGUUUGAUUGAUUUAAAUAAUUGAGGAUGUACUUAAUAGAAAUAUUUAGCUUACAUUAUUUAAUAGAAAUCUCUGGUUCAUAAUCACUUUAUGAUUGUAUAAACAAAAUACAAAGGGUAAAAAAAUACGUACUGCUGAAAAAUUGUCAUUUUUUCCUUUUUUUUCUAUCUUUUAUGAGUAAUUUUCUUUCUUAUCUAUCAAAUGUACGGAACAAUUGAUUUCUGAUAUAGGUUAAUCUUUUGAAGGUUACACAUCUCUAACUUGUUUAUUUUGUCACUCUAUUCAUCUGUGUUUCCUCUUAUUUUCAAUUUUAUUCUUGCAUCACCAAUGAUUAUGAUAGGGUUUUUCGUAUUGUUUUGAUGAGAUUGAGAUGUUUGUUAGGAUUAUGAGGAUCUCACAAUAAUAAAGUUGGUGCUAAUGUAACACUAGAAAAAUGAUUGGGUUGGUUUCCUUUAAUACAUACGGUCUCAUUUUCAUUGUCUUGUAAUUAUUCUAUUUUCUUUUUUUCUUUUUCAUUUUCUUGUAAUUAUUCUUUUUUCUUUUUUUCUUUUUCAUUUUCUACUUAUAAUUAGUAUUUUAGCAUAUUUUUUAAUCUAUAUAACUUAUGUUAAUCGUUUAAUUAUCAGAAUAUAGAAGAUGACAUUUUAUGUUCUUUAGGAUAUAAGUAUAUAUUUAAUUAAUUUUGAUGUUCAAUACAUAUCUUUCUAAACUAAUUAAUGUCAAGGUUUGUUACUCAUUACAUGUUUGAUUGAUUUAUAUAAUUGAGGAUGUACUUAAUAUAAAUAUUUACUUUACAAUACUUAAUAGAAAACUCUGGUUCAUAAUCACUUUAUGAUUGUAUAAACAAAAUAAAAAGGGUAAAAAAAUACGUACUGCUGAAAAAUUGUCAUAUUUUCCUUUUUUUUCUAUCUUUUAUGAGUAAUUUUCUUUCUUAUCUAUCAAAUGUACAGAUCAAGUGAUUUCUGAUAUAGGUUGAUCUUUUGAAGGUUACACAUCUCUAACUUGUUUAUUUUGUCACUCUAUUCAUCUGUGUUUCCUCUUAUUUUCAAUUUUAUUCUUGCAUCACCAAUGAUUAUGAUAGGGUUUUUCGUAUUGUUUUGAUGAGAUUGAGAUGAUUGUUAGGAUUAUGAGGAUCUCACAAUAAUAAAGGUGAUGCUAAUGUAACACUGGAAAAAUGAUUGAGUUGGUUUCCUUUAUAUUAUACGGUCUCAUUUUCAUUUUCUUGUUAUUAUUCUAUUUUCUUUUUUCUUUUUCAUUUUCUUGUAAUUAUUCUAUUUUCUUUUUUGUUUUUCAUUUUCUUGUAAUUAUUCUAUUUUCUUUUUCUCUUUUUCAUUUUCUACUUAUAAUUAGUAUUUUAGCAUAUUUUUAAUCUGUAUAACUUAUGUUAAUUCUUAAUUAUCAGAAUAUAGAAGAUGAUAUUUUAUGUUCUUUAGGAUAUAAGUAUAAAUUUAAUUAAUUUUGAUGUUCAAUACAUAUCAUUCUAAACUAUUGAAUGUCAUGGUUUGUUACUCAUUACAUGUUUGAUUCAUAUAUAUAAUUGAGGAUAUACUUAAUAUAAAUAUUUAACUUACAUUAUUUAAUAGAAAUCUAUGGUUCAUAAUCACUUUAUGAUUGUAUGAAUAAAAUACAAAAGGUAAAAAAAUACGUACUGCUAUAAAAUUGUCAUAUUUUCCAUUUUUUCCUAUCUUUUAUGAGUAAUUUUCUUU
rnacentral:lncRNA from 1 species